GUUAAAUCGUUUGCUGCUUUUCAAAUUUUAGAAUGACAGUUUCACUUUCAUUUUGUUGUGAGCGACUGAUAUAAGAAACGUAUUGUGGCAUCAAGAGUUGGUUCUGCAGCAUAAUGUACUCGUACUAGCCAGUGCCAAGGUCUGCAGCUUAAUUUAUGCAAUCAAGAAGCUGAAACAACAAUCUGAAGAGACGUGCUCCAUUAUAUGGACAUUUCCCUGGUGCGCAAUUGCUUGUUAAGACUUUGGAAGCAACACAACAGAAGUCUGCAAGGCAAAUCUACUGUAAUGGUGAUGGGGAGCUGAUGUGCCAUUUCCUCCAUGCUCAAGCCUAUAUGCUGAUACUGAGCUAGUGA